GGGCUGUAGCUCAAUGGUAGAGUAUCUGCUUUGCAUGCAGAAGGUCCCUGGUUCAGUCCGUAACACCU